UACGUAGGGUGCGAGCGUUAAUCGGAAUUACUGGGCGUAAAGCGUGCGCAGGCGGUUGUGCAAGACAGAUGUGAAAUCCCCGGGCCCAACCUGGGAAUUGCAUUUGUGACUGUACGGCUAGAGUGUGUCAGAGGGGGGUAGAAUUCCACGUGUAGCAGUGAAAUGCGUAGAGAUGUGGAGGAAUACCGAUGGCGAAGGCAGCCCCCUGGGAUAACACUGACGCUCAUGCACGAAAGCGUGGGGAGCAAACAGG
rnacentral:rRNA from 1 species